AGAACAGCCAGUCAUCGUUUUGAUUUCUGGAUCUACAGUGACUGACUGAAUACCUCAAGUCCAGUGACUGUCCCUGUUGCAUUAUGGAAGUUCAAGAGUCACGACUGAUCUUGAUGUGUGUUGGAUUUAGGAGUGUUUCAUUAUCUUAAGUAUUUGUGAAUUAGAUUCAACAGUGUUUCCAUAGUUGCUCUGCGUAUAAAACCAAACCUGCAGCCAGUGGCCAUUCAAACAUCUUUAUGUUCAGAUACUGAGCCUUCGCAAGGUUGACUACCUCAGAUUUGCUGCCCUUAGUUAUAGAUUUCAUUUGGAUCACAUCUUCGACAUAAGGUUACAGCUACUAGUGUCUGUGUGAACCUUGAAACCAACUCUACUGGAUUCCUGUCAGAAAGCCUUCAGAAGUCAGACAUCUGGGUUCUGAUCUGCUGUAAAUGAUGAAGAGGUAAGUGAUCUUAAUUAACCUGUUCUGUGCCUCAUCCUAAGGCAAACUCUGUAGGCUUUGCCUAUGUUAGACUCCCUGGAACAAGCCACUCUCAGAAAUGAUGUGUUUGGAUCAUCUGUGUGGGGCUUAUGAUUUAUAAUUUAAGUUUUUAUUUGUAUGAGAUAACUGUGGAUUUAAUUCAACCAAACUUGGGUCCACCAAAUGGGGAGUGGGUGGGGGGUAGUCUUAUUUCUUUGAAUAAUUUUUCAUUCAGAUAGUGUUGUUCGGUUCCACAUUAAGACCUUGCUUUGACUUGGAGUAAGUUCUUUAAGGGCAUAUUGUGUGGAGAAAUAGUCUGAAAGAAGCAUUGGAAUUGUAAAGUGCCCUAAGGAUUUGCCAAUCCGUAGGUGAAACCAGAUAGCCUUUGAUACAUAUAAAGGACAGUGGAUCUGCUGCACUCCAGGUGCUGCUCAAGCCUCCUAAUCAGGUCUAAUUGAAUUGCUGUGGACGAAGUGUGGUGUCUGAUCACUGCUGUGGACAGAGUAUGGGGUCUGCUCAGGAGGAGAGGGUUUCACUAACCUGGCUUUUAACAGUUCAAAGCAACAGGAGCAAAACACCCAAGUUGUGCAAGAAUCUGGCAUAGUGUCUGAUAAAUCCUUGUGUGUGCCCCAAAUGUGAAGGUUAUAGGUUAUUCUGUAGAUCCAUUCAUUGUUUAGCCAGCUCUUGACAUUCACCUUGGGAAUAUGUUCGGUAAUCACUUGGAGACGCAGGUGAAUAGCCAGUAAUGUAGCAUUUCUGUUGUUAAUAAUUUCAGUUUAACUAUCUAGUAGUACUUGGCUCUCAGAAAAGGUUACUGCUAAAUUUCUUUCUACCUAAUGAAAUAGCCUGUCAGUUACCUACUUUGUCACUACAGAUGGUUCAGUACACAUACUCUAUGUUGACAUAUGACUAUGUGAUAUGAUAGUAGUGCCUGGGUUUCUCUCUGUAAACGAAUCCCUUUGCCAAACACAGUUCAGACUUGCUCACUACUGACAGGAGUGUAACAAGAAAUGGAUGUUUUCCCAGCUUGAAGCAUGUUUAGUGGAUUUAGGGCAGCAGUGUGGGAAGCAGGAGGUGGAGGCCAGUGUCUCCUACCAGACUGUAUGCCACUUCUGGGCAAUAAUGCUGGCAUGACCUGAACCAGCUAGGAGGAGGUGGGGUGAUUAGAGACUUGAGAUUCUUAGUUAAACUGAAGACUUCAUUUGGGCACCAGAAACCUUAACAAAUAAUCUCACACCUUGAGCCACAAACUUCUAUUAAAAGAUGCUUUACCCCAGCGUGACACACAAACACACUUUCUGUUUGGGGUUAUGGUUUAAGAUGUGAACAGAAACAAGAUGAGGUUUGUUUAAUGCCAUACUGUACUGGAAUGCUGAAGAUCUGCAGCAGAUGUAAAUUCCAAGUCGUGUUAUUUUUUAACAUUGUGAAAUUAUCAAAAUGCACAUGAAUCAAGUUUUAAUAACACUGUCUGGGUGGAUGAGGCUGUCCAUUGCACCAUUUCUUUCUUUGGGUUCUCAGGCAUGGUUCCUACAGUGUAAGAACUCUGUAACAUUUAACAAUGAAUAAAUAGUAAACCUAUGGGGAAAAAAAAAGAAAGGAAAUAAAAAGGAAAGGAUAUGGCUUCUCCUAAGUAUGGUGAAGUAGAAUGUUUCUUAUCAAAAGAAAGAGAAUAGCUAGACACAGGAACAGUCUACAAUGGACAGAACCAUGAGCCUCAUGAGGAGAGGGAGGAGGCAAAGCCAGACCAAGAGGCCAGGAGGGUAAAUGAUCAGUAAAAAAGACCAGGUAGCCAAAUGGAUGCGUUACAUGAGGAAGAGCAGCUGGGAGGACAUUUGCCCAGCCUCUGUGCUAGGUGUCUGGAAAGGACAGCAAUGCACUGUAUGUAACAGGUAGGGAUAGAGGACUGUUUGGAGAACCUGGAACCAAGGACUGAUUUGAUUUGUUAAUUAGGCACCUUGACCUUUUGUUCCAAGGUUUAAUAUUCAACAUUAGGGAGGACUGAAGAGAUUGAAAUGAUUUAAUUGUAAUCUCAAAAGUUAUUUUUUAAAAAAAUGAACGUUCUUUUAUUUCUUCUCUGCCUAAAUUAUCAAUGGAGGUAAAGGGAGGGAGGGACUUAGGUGGGAGAAGUGAGAGGGAGAGAAAAAGGGGAGCAGGAUGAGUUAUGGGUGGGAGACAAGAGAGCACCCAGAGGGCCAGAAAAAUGAAUGGAAAUAUGGAGCAGUAGAAUUUGGAGAUUGGAGAGAAACCUCUAGAAAGUCUUAUAGACCUGGGGUGUUAGAGGCUUCCUAGAUCAUGCCAUGUCUCCAUAUUGAUGAUAAUGAACUGAACCUCUGAACCUGUUAACCAUCCCCAUUGAAAUGUUCUUUUGUCCUUAUAAGUGUUGCCUUGGUCACCUGUCUGUUCACAACAGUAAUCCCUAUGACAGCAAUUCUUAAUAAUAGAGCUUGAUGAAAGGCUAAGCUACAGGAGAUAUUGCUCAAAACAGACACAUGUAUGAAAGUAGCUGAUCAAAGGAAUAAAAUUUUUCAUGGCUGGGAAACUUUAGGAAUAGAAACAAGUAAAAAGUCAGAUCAGAGAUGCAUAGAGGUAACAAAAUUGAAAGAUCAAUACCAAGACAAUAUAAUUGAAAAAUUCCCAAGGUACAACAACUUUAUUUUGGUAGGUACUUUUCCCUCAAGAAUUUGAGAAGUUUAAUCAUGAGAAAAAGCAAUGUCAUUGUAACAGGGGGCACAGACUGGAAUCAAGGUGACCUAAGCCACCACAGCUUAUCUCAGAAUCAUUAUUGUAUAUAUUUCUUUUUGUAAAAAGAUUGCAGAUAAAGCUGAUGGAAAUACUAUACGUUGCCAGAGUGAAAUCACUCCAUACACAAGCAGAAGAUGAAUUAAGAAAAGUUGCUUUAGUGACUGUGUGCUUUCAUGACAGGCUAAUUAUCAGACUCAUCAGCCUAGCAUAAAUUUGAAUUCAAUAUAUGCUGUCACUCUUAAGUUUCUUUUAGGUUGAGUUCACAGAUUAUGCUUUGAACAAGUUAAAUAUGGACUGGAGACUGCAUAUCUAGGCUCUUAGGCAGAUGGAAAAUUUACGUAGUACAGAUAUUGUAAGAGUCGUUUCUUACAUAACCAUUUUCC
rnacentral:lncRNA from 1 species